rnacentral:rRNA from 1 species
GCCAGACUCCUACGGGAGGCAGCAGUGGGGAAUAUUGGGCAAUGGGCGCAAGCCUGACCCAGCAACGCCGCGUGAAGGAAGAAGGCUUUCGAGUUGUAAACUUCUUUUAAGAGGGAAGAGUAGAAGACGGUACCUCUUGAAUAAGCCACGGCUAACUACGUGCCAGCAGCCGCGGUAAUACGUAGGGGGCGAGCGUUAUCCGGAUUCACUGGGUGUAAAGGGAGCGUAGACGGCCAAGCAAGCCAGGGGUGAAAGCCCGGGGCCCAACCCCGGGACUGCCCUUGGAACUGCAUGGCUGGAGUGCAGGAGGGGCAGGCGGAAUUCCUGGUGUAGCGGUGAAAUGCGUAGAUAUCAGGAGGAACACCGGUGGCGAAGGCGGCCUGCUGGACUGCGACUGACGUUGAGGCCCGAAAGCGUGGGGAGCAAACAGGAUUAGAUACCCCAGUAU